CUACGGGAGGCUGCAGCGAGGAAUUUUGCGCAAUGGGCGAAAGCCUGACGCAGCAACGCCGCGUGAGUGAUGAAGGCCUUCGGGUCGUAAAGCUCUGUCAAGUGGGAAGAACCUAUGUAAUGUUAAUAUCAUUAUAUACUGACGGUACCACUGAAGGAAGCACCGGCUAACUCCGUGCCAGCAGCCGCGGUAAUACGGGGGGGUGCAAGCGUUAUUCGGAAUCAUUGGGCGUAAAGGGCACGUAGGCGGCCUGGUAAGUCAGACGUGAAAGCCCGGGGCUUAACCCCGGAAGUGCAUUUGAUACUGUCAGGCUUGAGUAUGGGAGAGGGAAGUGGAAUUCCUGGUGUAGAGGUGAAAUUCGUAGAUAUCAGGAGGAGCACCGGUGGCGAAGGCGACUUCCUGGACCAAUACUGACGCUGAGGUGCGAAGGCGUGGGUAGCAAACAGGAUUAGAUACCCCAGUAGUC
rnacentral:rRNA from 1 species